AGGACUAGGGGGAGCCAAAUCCUACCAAAUCCUGACGAACUCCGAAUGCUAACAGAUAUACCAUGCAGUGAGGGCAAGGGUGCUAAGGUCCUUGUCCGAGAGGGAAAGAACCCAGACCUUCAGCUAAGGUCCCAAAAUCUAUACUAAGUUGAACUAAGGCGGUCCAGUUGCUUAGACAGCCAGGAUGUUGGCUUGGAAGCAGCCAUUCAUUUAAAGAGUGCG
rnacentral:rRNA from 1 species